rnacentral:misc_RNA from 1 species
GGCAGUUUUCUUUACCACUAAUGUAAUUAAAAAAAUUGUAUGAGACAUUUACAAAUUUCCAUUAAAAAAAUUGAACUUAUCACAGAAGUUUAACCCUAUUUUAAGUGUCUUAUGUUUUGUAUCGUUCAAAAAUAAGUAAUAACUUUUCAUAAAAAGCAUAUGUUAAUUAAUUCUUAAAAAAGUAAAAGUAGAAAUAUGAAAAUUUAAAAAAAAGGAAAACGAUGUAAACAAAGUAGUAGCAGCUGAUUAGGGCUGUUGAAGAAGACACUAAAAUGCCUAAUUCAUUGAUAUUUUAAUGCUGAAAUUAACCCCUUGCUUCAUUAAAGUGCUUCUGAAGGAGACAAUGAAAAAUUUUUAUUUAUUCCUUAUUUUUUAGUACUAAUUUUUAUUUAUUUUUAUUGCGAUAUAUUCUUUUCUUUUAUUUUUUUAAAAUAUAUAAUUUUAUGGCUUAAUUUAACAUGCAAUGUUAAAUCUUGGACAUCAAC